UGAUGUAAGGGCAUAAAAAAGGUUUUGAUUUUUUAAGGUGCAGUUCAAUUCUGCUCAA
rnacentral:tRNA from 1 species